UACAUGGGGUCCAAGCGUUAUCCGGAUUUACUGGGCGUAAAGCGUGCGUAGGUGUCUUGUUAAGUCUGCGGUGAAAUCUCCGGGCCCAACCCGGAAAUUGUCGAAGAAACUGGCAGGAUUGAGUAUGGCAGAGGCAAGGGGAAUUCCAGGUGUAGCGGUAAAAUGCGUAGAUAUCUGGAAGAACACCAGUGGCGAAGGCGCCUUGCUGGGCCACUACUGACACUGAGGUACGAAAGCGUGGGUAGCGAACGGG
rnacentral:rRNA from 1 species